GACGAACGCUGGCGGCGUGCUUAACACAUGCAAGUCGAACGGAAAGGCCUCUUUCGGGGGGUACUCGAGUGGCGAACGGGUGAGUAACACGUGAGUAACCUGCCCUUGACUUUGGGAUAACUUCAGGAAACUGGGGCUAAUACCGGAUAGGAGCUCCUGCUGCAUGGUGGGGGUUGGAAAGUUUCGGCGGUUGGGGAUGGACUCGCGGCUUAUCAGCUUGUUGGUGGGGUAGUGGCUUACCAAGGCUUUGACGGGUAGCCGGCCUGAGAGGGUGACCGGCCACAUUGGGACGUGGAUACGGACGAGACUGCUACGGGAGGCAGCAGGGGGGAAUGUUGCACAACGGGUGGAAGUCUGAUGCAGGAAAGCCCUGUGCGGGAUGACGGGUUUCGGGGUGGAAACCGAUGUCGCGCAUGACGAAGCUUUGCGUGACGGUAGUGGGUAAAGAAGCACCGGCUAACUACGUG
rnacentral:rRNA from 1 species